UACGAAGGGGGCUAGCGUUGCUCGGAAUCACUGGGCGUAAAGCGCACGUAGGCGGAAUUGUUAAGUCGGGGGUGAAAUCCUGGAGCUCAACUCCAGAACUGCCUUCGAUACUGACGAUCUCGAGUCCGGGAGAGGUGAGUGGAACUCCGAGUGUAGAGGUGAAAUUCGUAGAUAUUCGCAAGAACACCAGUGGCGAAGGCGGCUUACUGGUCCGGUUCGACGCUG
rnacentral:rRNA from 1 species